GCCUUGUGGUUCCUGGAGUCGGCUCCAAAGUGCCGAGCUGUAGGUUUUUAUUGACGGGCGCAUACGGACUUCUGCGAUUUUAUGCAUGGAACCUGCAGCUACAGCAGCGCUCCAUAGCCCGGUUGCAGAUACACUC
ensembl:snoRNA